rnacentral:lncRNA from 10 species
CAGGCACAGAGAUGGCUGCACCACCUAGGUGUAAAGGAAUGCAUGGGAAGCUGGCUGAAACAACCUAGGAGCAAACUGCCUUCCACCCACAGCUGGACAGAGGUGCAUCCUGUGUUUUAGCCCCAGGGCUGCAUUAUGGAAGCCAGAUGGGUCAUUUUGAAAAGACCAAAACUGCCUUCUCUCUCAGGACAAGGCAACCCCAGCAGGUGAUGGAAGACACACCAGUGAAGGAUUUUGAGCAGGGCAGUGACACUGACCAUCAGAAAGCCUGGAAGAGCAUAUCCCCAGACAGAAGCAUGGAUCUAAGAUACCAACAGCAUCCCACACUCCGUUUGACUUUUGUUCACAUACAUUUCAGUGUAAUUUGCAUUUAUGUGAUUUCCUUCUGCCAUUGGGUUGUGGACAGCAUUGAUGAUGAUCGACAUUCCAUAACUUCCCAUCAUAGCUGGAGAGCAGAAGGAUGGCCGCCGUCUCAGAUAAAAUUCUAUCCAAUUAAACAGUUCAAUGAACACGUCAUGGUUUGAGGUUCUCAUUAUCCUCUGUGUGCAUGUCUCAUGGAUAUUUCUUUACACCCAUCAUCGUAAUAAGGUCUUAGUGCAGAAGAUGCUCCAUGAAUUAUGCUCCCCCACUGAGCGUUAUAAUGACAUUGACUUGAAAAUGGGUCUCCUUAGACUUGCAUGAGAAGCUGAGCUUUUUCAUUUAAUUGAAUUGUUCUGGACUUUAUUUUUCCAGGUCUUUUGUCUAAAUGGUAUCAGAUGCUCCACAUGAUGAAACAUGUCACAGACAUUGACAAAAUAAUGUUGGCUCACUAACAGGGUACAUCUACUGAGGGCAAAUGUGUAAAAAGUUUUCUCCAAUCAAUACCCCAGCACAUGCUCCCUGCUCUGGAUGGUGUGGCUCACCUGGCAACUGUGGUUCACCUGGCCAGCUCCCCUGGUUGAAAAUACAAGGUCAACAAUUAAAAGUACAUGUAGUCUGUGUAAGUGUUCACCCAUCUGAGGUGAUUUUAGAGACCAUGGCUACCCCAAACCCAUGCCCUACUCUGCUGCCAGGUACCUAUCCAAAACAUUGAUCUGAAUGUGUCACUUGCUAAUUCAAACAUCUCCAUUUAAACCUCUGAGGAAUGCAGGGUGGUUACUUGAAAAUAUCAAAGGUUUUGAGCAAGAUGGGUCUGGGUUGGAACUCUGGCUGUACCACUUACAGGGUGUAAGAAAAGUUACUUCA